UACGUAGGGAGCGAGCGUUAUCCGGAUUCAUUGGGUGUAAAGCGUGUGUAGGCGGUUUCUUAAGUCAGUAGUCUAAGCCUGGAGCUCAACUCCAGUUCGCUACUGAAACUGGGAAACUAGAAUACGGGAGAGGGGGGUAGAAUUCCAAGUGUAGCGGUGAAAUGCGUAGAGAUUUGGAGGAAUACCAGUGGCGAAGGCGGCCCCCUGGCCCGAUAUUGACGCUGAGGUGCGAAAGCGUGGGGAGCAAACAGG
rnacentral:rRNA from 1 species